rnacentral:rRNA from 1 species
CGUAGGUGGCAAGCGUUGUCCGGAUUUAUUGGGUUUAAAGGGUGCGUAGGCGGCCCUGUAAGUCAGUGGUGAAAUAUCUCAGCUUAACUGAGAGGGUGCCAUUGAUACUGCGGGGCUUGAGUACAGAUGAGGUAGGCGGAAUUGACGGUGUAGCGGUGAAAUGCAUAGAUAUCGUCAAGAACUCCGAUAGCGAAGGCAGCUUACUAAGCUGUAACUGACGCUGAGGCACGAAAGUGUGGGGAUCAAACAGGAUUAGAUACCCUGGUAGUCCACACUGUAAACGUUGAUGACUCGAUGUUGGCGAUACACAGCCAGCGUCCCAGAGCAAUCGUUAAGUCAUCCACCUGGGGAGUACGCCGGCAACGGUG